rnacentral:lncRNA from 1 species
GUCGAAAUGCUAUCGUCUUGCGUCAUGUUAAGUAUUGCACUGCGUGGAGGGCCUGAUAGUACUCAUGCAUGUUGACAUGACUUGUACGCCCGUAAACAGUUUCGUAGUAAUAUUGUGUAGAGGCUCAGUUUCCCUCCUGUGUUUUACUUGCUCUGACGAGUGGUGCUUCUCUCAAUGGCGACCAAGCGUUCGUGGCCCCAUUUUUGUCGUUCUCUUUGGUGAAGAUCGGUUUGAGCGCUUCCUUGGUGACGACGUCACUAGGGAAGAUUCACUUCGAUCUCGCGAUCGAAGAUUGCUCAUACGUUCGACCGCUGCGUUUCCAACUGUCUUCGAUGUAGGACGGCCCUGAAUUUCGGCACUGGAUUCAAGGAAGCCUAACCGUCGUCCAACCGCGCAAGCCACGCGGUACGGUUCAAUGGGGCACGAAACUAGAGCACUGGGAACCAAAACGGGCUGCCAAGUUGGCCGCCGCAUGUAUCUCACUUGGAAGAUCGCAGCAAGUUUCGCUGUUUUCAAUAAACUGUUGAAGCUGCAUUGAA